UUGAUUCUUCUUUCUAAAUCUGUAUAAAAAGGAUAUUUUCUGGAGGCAGAGCUGCUGCGAGAAGAAGACCCAGGAGAUCUGGGGCAGCGAGCUGUGCGUCUGACAGCGCAGGUCCAGCAGCGUGGGCCCCAGGAAGGCGAUGCACAGGCCGAAGCUGAAGAAGACGCUCCAGUAGGUGAGCGUGGGCUGCAGGUUGCGGCGGAGCAGCCCCGACACGCGGCCGUCGCAGCCCAUGG
rnacentral:lncRNA from 1 species